GGGUAAACAUUUAAAACAUUCUUUAUAUUUGCAGGGUGUUAAAAAAUUCCACUGUGUACCAUAGUCAGGGAAGUAUAUGAUUAAGAGCAAAGAUCCUUUCUUCUCAAUCCUGUCACUUGGAGUUUUUGUAUAUUUUUGAAAGAAAGUUAGCAUACCUUUUUGAUCCUCAUAGGUUCUCUCAGAUCACUCAUUAUCUUUUAUAUAUAUCUCACUGAGGCUGUUUUAUUUUGCAAAAAUUCUCAAGCAUACUUACUUUGCAUUUAUUGCCUGAUCAAAACGGGAUCCGAGGAGGGGAAUGUCAUACUCUUAGAUCAAAGACUUUGGAAAUUAAAAAUCUUAGUCAACUCUUGCUGGCAUAUUGCUUAUUAGAGGGACCAUGGGCUAUCAUUUUUUUCUUUCUUCUCUUUUUUUUAAGUGGAGACCAAGGUACCCCUAAUUCUACUGCCGGACACUUGUCCAUUUUUUUCUGCGAGGUUGUCGAGCACUUGCUCCUUUUUAUUUCCACGAAAUAUUUCUAUUUUUGCAUAGCCCAUGCCUCUAAUGCAAUAAUACAUCGGAAGAGUGAAACUUUCUGAAUAAAUGUCUUGAUCUUAGGAGCAUGAUAAAUCUCUCAACAAGGGUCUAACUCAUUUUGAACAAACUCAAUACAGAGUAGAUAGCUUUUGUAAUCAUAAUUAAUAUUUUCAGUUUUAUCAGGCAUAUAGAACACUGAGGAUGGUAGCUAGAAAUUUGAAUAUUUUGAAAUAAAUUCUCCAAGCAACAAUGAUAUCAAGAAUAAGAAACUCAUACUCUACCAUCACAUAUUCCAAUUGACUUAAGUAACAUAGGGUUUUAAAAUGAUUUUAUAAUAAUUGCAAGUUUUCAGGAAAUAUCAUAGAUUGAGAUUAAUCAUGAUUAUAAAUAUUUUAAUCUCUUUUUUUUAUCAUGUCGGGAACAAUAUUCUGCAUAAUCCAAAAUAUAUAUAUGUGUAAAGUAAUGUGUGCAGAGUGUGUACCUGAAUCGUGGAGUGGUGUAGUCGGAGUGUGUUUUGCAUGUUGAGGGAUCUCCCCCAUACUUGUUUUCUGCUUUCUUACAAAAAUAAAGUAGAGACACAAGACAUAAUAAUAAUAAUAAUAAUAUUCUUUAUUGAUCUUGAGGCAUUUAUUACAAAAGACUGAUAGCAAACUGAUAAUAAUAGUAAACCUAAACCGAAUUUAAAGAUAGAUAACUAAGAUGCAUUGCCUCAAGGUCUAAUCUAGAUAACUUAGCGGCGCUCUAAUUCCUUGAUCUUCUUGUUGGCACUGGCAAGAUCCUGCCUAAGGCCUAGUAUAAUGGUGUUGUGGUUAGAGAGCUGCCUAGUGAGGGAAUUAAUCGAAGACUGGAGGUCUAUGAUAACUCUAUCUAGCCUGCGAACUUCCUCAUCAAUA
rnacentral:lncRNA from 1 species